AUUGAACGCUGGCGGCAUGCUUUACACAUGCAAGUCGUACGGUAACAGGCCGCAAGGUGCUGACGAGUGGCGAACGGGUGAGUAAUGCAUCGGAACGUGCCCAGUCGUGGGGGAUAACGCAGCGCAAGCUGCGAUAAUACCCCAUACGAUCUAUGGAUGAAAGCGGGGGACCGUAAGGCCUCGCGCGUUUGGAGCGGCCGAUGUCAGAUUAGGUAGUUGGUGGGGUAAAGGCUCACCAAUCCAACGAUCUGUAGCUGGUCUGAGAGGACGACCAGCCACACUGGGACUGAGACACGGCCCAGACUCCUACGGGAGGCAGAAGUGGGGAAUUUUGGACAAUGGGCGCAAGCCUGAUCCAGCAAUGCCGCGUGCAGGAAGAAGGCCUUCGGGUUGUAAACUGCUUUUGUACGGAACGAAAAGGCUCUGGUUAAUACCUGGGGCUCAUGACGGUACCGUAAGAAUAAGCACCGGCUAACUACGUGCCAGCAGCCGCGGUAACAC
rnacentral:rRNA from 1 species